rnacentral:rRNA from 1 species
CCUACGGGAGGCAGCAGUGAGGAAUAUUGGGCAAUGGACGAGAGUCUGAACCAGCCAAGUAGCGUGAAGGAUGACUGCCCUAUGGGUUGUAAACUUCUUUUAUAAAGGAAUAAAACGAGGCACGUGUGCCGUUUUGCAUGUACUUUAUGAAUAAGGAUCGGCUAACUCCGUGCCAGCAGCCGCGGUAAUACGGAGGAUCCGAGCGUUAUCCGGAUUUAUUGGGUUUAAAGGGAGCGUAGAUGGGUUGUUAAGUCAGUUGUGAAAGUUUGCGGCUCAACCGUAAAAUUGCAAUUGAUACUGGCAGUCUUGAGUACAGUUGAGGUAGGCGGAAUUCGUGGUGUAGCGGUGAAAUGCUUAGAUAUCACGAAGAACCCCGAUUGCGAAGGCAGCUUACUAAACUGUGACUGACAUUGAUGCUCGAAAGUGUGGGUAUCAAACAGGAUUAGAUACCCCGGUAGUC